CCUUUAUUUAAUAUUAUUUUUGUAACUGGAUUAUUUAGCUUUAAAGACAAAAUUAUGGUUGUUACUCUUGACAUAUACACAUUUGAACAGAUUGUGCAUUUCCUUGCUCACAGAGAGAAUUCAGAAUAUUUAUAAUUUUUAUGGAUUAUGUAGCAGUAGCGAUCUCUAUCAAGUUAUAAAUGUAGCAGCAUCUACAGUGAGACGGCUACAAAACUAGAAAAAAAAUUAUUCAAUCACUAAACAGGGAAAGUCGGCCUAUACAUGAACACUACAAAAACAAGAACUUUAUUCAAUAGUCUGUGCCAGCCAAUCAGAGUAGAGAGUAUCUUUCGACAAGAACAGCGGUGAAAACGAAGUAGAUAGAAGAACAAAUGCGAUUUGGAAGAAGUACUGGACCCAUAAGAAAUUCUGAAAGGAAACAGGAAGUCAAACGUGGGUUUUCACCAAGAAAACUUGGCUUGCCAGCAUGCAGUAUAAAGAAGCAUCUUAAAGUUGAGGAGAAUAAACAAAACAAAACUACUGGAAAGAAAUGGACAGAUGACGUUACCGAGCUGGCCGGGAAAACCUGGAUGAAUGUCGCUCAACACAAAGAGAACUGGAAAAAUAUGGAAGAUUUUUACCGUAAAAGGCCCAUGUCAUACAAAAACUAUGGUCUAGUCUAAAAAAAUUAAAUCUAACUUGAAUGUUUUGACUUAUACUAACACAACUAAUACCAAUAUUAAAAAAUGUAAACUAACCAA